AGAGUUUGAUCCUGGCUCAGAUUGAACGCUGGCGGCAUGCUUUACACAUGCAAGUCGAACGGCAGCACGGGUGCUUGCACCUGGUGGCGAGUGGCGAACGGGUGAGUAAUGCACCGGAACGUACCCAGUAAUGGGGGAUAACACAUCGAAAGAUGUGCUAAUACCGCAUGCGCCCUGAGGGGGAAAGCGGGGGAUCGUAAGACCUCGCGUUAUUGGAGCGGCCGAUGCCGGAUUAGCUAGUUGGUGAGGUAAGAGCUCACCAAGGCGACGAUCCGUAGCUGGUCUGAGAGGACGACCAGCCCUACUAGGACUGAGACACGGCCCAGACUCCUACGGGAGGCAGCAGUGGGGAAUUUUGGACAAUGGGC
rnacentral:rRNA from 1 species